GCUGUGGAUAAACAUUGGAAAAACAUAAAACUAUGACUAGGUGUUUACAAAAAUUAAUAAAUAAUCUAAGACGAUAAGAAGUGUGCGUUUUAAUUCAGGAAAAAUCGAAUAAAUUGAAUAAAUUCAGCGAAAUUUGUAGUUUUCCAAAGGAAAUGGCUACGAAACCACAAUCCUGAAAUUAUUUAUUUUUCUAUUUGGGUUGUUUCAACGAAAAGAAAAGAAUUUCCAUGAAAAAAGUAUUUGUUACGGGGAAAUGACCAAACGGAAACUACUCCUCGGUAAAAAAUGCAAGUCAAACUUGAACUAUGCGAAUACUUAUCGUGCAAAAAAUACGCUGUUGUUAAGACUUAAAUUUAUGCAAAAACGAAAUAAACACGAAAUAAAUGAAAUUAUUUCAAUCCUUCAAGUGUCAUUCCAGUCAAAUUUUUUAAAAAGAAUUUAAACACGUAGAUAAUUUCAAAACAAGUUUUUUUCGACUGCAGUGCCGCUUUCCCAAUUUGUUAUCACAAAAUGACGGAUUUUAUUUAUCCCAACCACAAGAAAUUGCAUUAAACAGCAUUUUGUGACUCAUCCCCGGGUUGUUAUUUUACUGCGAAUGGAAGGAAAGCAGGAAAACCGUGUUCGCACAUAUAAACACCAGCGAUAAAAAUUCAAAGCGUGGAAAGAAACUUUCAGUCGCCGAUAAGUUCUUGCAGAGUUAAGUGUUUUUCCUUCGCUAAUAAAAAGCACAAUGUCGGGCCCUACGCUAUUCUCAUUUCCUAUCAAAGGGGCUACUAAAAGUUUUGGAACGACCCUUCAAGUCACAGACGAUCAAAACGUACUCAAAAUUGGGCAGAGUUUCACUCCCCCAGCUACUACCCUCAUCAGCGAAAUAACCAACAGUACGGUUACUGCAGAAACUGCUACCACUCCUGAGAUUUCUCAAAAUAUUACAACAACGAUUACCACCGUGAUAACCGAAGUGACCGACAGUACGACCGAAACAAUCGGUAUUUUUGAAAACAACAUCACUUCAGCAGUGGCCGAAAUAAAAAACAGUACACAAAAUACAACUUCAACCCCACUUGACGUAUUUUCUUCAACUACGGAUGUUUCGAACCAAAUAUAUUACGAAGGAUACGACGUUGAGGGAAAAACUUUGUACGUUGUUUUGGGAGUUAUAAUCGUCAGUCUGCUCUUAAUUAUCGUCAUUCUUAUCGUCGUUUAUAAGCGAUAUAAAGCCAGCCGUUCAGGAUCGCUUGAUUGUGCAACCGAUUUGAGCCAAGUUACCAUCUCAAACGGAAGAAUGAAAUCGUAUUAAUUAUAUUUGUGAUAAUCUGUUAUAUUUUACUAUCAUUAUAUUUUUGUUACUCGCUUAGGUAGGUUUAUUUAUAUCCUCAAAAUGUUAUUGCCGAAAUAAAUUCUUGGUUUAUAAAUUAUAA